rnacentral:tRNA from 1 species
UCUCUGGUAGUAUACCGGUUAGUACACGCGCCUGUCAUAAACGGUCUUUACCUGUUUCGCGCGAAAGCUGGGUUCGACUCCCAGCCAGAGAG